GGGUUGUGAGGUUAAGCGACUAAGCGUACACGGUGGAUGCCCUGGCAGUCAGAGGCGAUGAAGGGCGUGCUAAUCUGCGAUAAGCGCCGGUAAGGUGAUAUGAACCGUUAUAACCGGCGAUACCCGAAUGGGGAAACCCAGUGUGACUCGUCACACUAUCAUUAACUGAAUCCAUAGGUUAAUGAGGCGAACCGGGGGAACUGAAACAUCUAAGUACCCCGAGGAAAAGAAAUCAACCGAGAUUCCCCCAGUAGCGGCGAGCGAACGGGGAGGAGCCCAGAGCCUGAAUCAGCAUGUGUGUUAGUGGAAGCGUCUGGAAAGGCGCGCGAUACAGGGUGACAGCCCCGUACACAAAAGCGCAUGUGCUGUGAGCUCGAUGAGUAGGGCGGGACACGUGGUAUCCUGUCUGAAUAUGGGGGGACCAUCCUCCAAGGCUAAAUACUCCUGACUGACCGAUAGUGAACCAGUACCGUGAGGGAAAGGCGAAAAGAACCCCGGCGAGGGGAGUGAAAAAGAACCUGAAACCGUGUACGUACAAGCAGUGGGAGCACAGGUUUACCUGUGUGACUGCGUACCUUUUGUAUAAUGGGUCAGCGACUUAUAUUCUGUAGCAAGGUUAACCGUAUAGGGGAGCCGGAGGGAAACCGAGUCUUAACCGGGCGUUAAGUUGCAGGGUAUAGACCCGAAACCCGGUGAUCUAGCCAUGGGCAGGUUGAAGGUUGGGUAACACUAACUGGAGGACCGAACCGACUAAUGUUGAAAAAUUAGCGGAUGACCUGUGGCUGGGGGUGAAAGGCCAAUCAAACCGGGAGAUAGCUGGUUCUCCCCGAAAGCUAUUUAGGUAGCGCCUCGUGAAUUCAUCUCCGGGGGUAGAGCACUGUUUCGGCUAGGGGGCCAUCCCGGCUUACCAACCCGAUGCAAACUGCGAAUACCGGAGAAUGUUAUCACGGGAGACACACGGCGGGUGCUAACGUCCGUCGUGAAGAGGGAAACAACCCAGACCGCCAGCUAAGGUCCCAAAGUCAUGGUUAAGUGGGAAACGAUGUGGGAAGGCCCAGACAGCCAGGAUGUUGGCUUAGAAGCAGCCAUCAUUUAAAGAAAGCGUAAUAGCUCACUGGUCGAGUCGGCCUGCGCGGAAGAUGUAACGGGGCUAAACCAUGCACCGAAGCUGCGGCAGCGAACGUAUCACUUAAAGCGAUUCAGCGGGUUACGAUUGACGGAGCGAAGCGACGUCAAAGCGUAUACAAAGUCGAGUCGGUUUAAGGAUACGUUCGUUGGGUAGGGGAGCGUUCUGUAAGCCUGUGAAGGUGUGUCGUGAGGCAUGCUGGAGGUAUCAGAAGUGCGAAUGCUGACAUAAGUAACGAUAAAGCGGGUGAAAAGCCCGCUCGCCGGAAGACCAAGGGUUCCUGUCCAACGUUAAUCGGGGCAGGGUGAGUCGACCCCUAAGGCGAGGCCGAAAGGCGUAGUCGAUGGGAAACGGGUUAAUAUUCCCGUACUUGGUGUUACUGCGAAGGGGGGACGGAGAAGGCUAUGUUGGCCGGGCGACGGUUGUCCCGGUUUAAGCGUGUAGGUGUGUGUUCCAGGUAAAUCCGGUUCACUUUAACACUGAGGCGUGAUGACGAGGCACUACGGUGCUGAAGCAACAAAUGCCCUGCUUCCAGGAAAAGCCUCUAAGCAUCAGGUAACAUCAAAUCGUACCCCAAACCGACACAGGUGGUCAGGUAGAGAAUACCAAGGCGCUUGAGAGAACUCGGGUGAAGGAACUAGGCAAAAUGGUGCCGUAACUUCGGGAGAAGGCACGCUGACACGUAGGUGAAGUGAUUUACUCAUGGAGCUGAAGUCAGUCGAAGAUACCAGCUGGCUGCAACUGUUUAUUAAAAACACAGCACUGUGCAAACACGAAAGUGGACGUAUACGGUGUGACGCCUGCCCGGUGCCGGAAGGUUAAUUGAUGGGGUCAGCGCAAGCGAAGCUCCUGAUCGAAGCCCCGGUAAACGGCGGCCGUAACUAUAACGGUCCUAAGGUAGCGAAAUUCCUUGUCGGGUAAGUUCCGACCUGCACGAAUGGCGUAAUGAUGGCCAGGCUGUCUCCACCCGAGACUCAGUGAAAUUGAACUCGCUGUGAAGAUGCAGUGUACCCGCGGCAAGACGGAAAGACCCCGUGAACCUUUACUAUAGCUUGACACUGAACAUUGAGCCUUGAUGUGUAGGAUAGGUGGGAGGCUUUGAAGCGUGGACGCCAGUCUGCGUGGAGCCGACCUUGAAAUACCACCCUUUAAUGUUUGAUGUUCUAACGUGGACCCGUGAUCCGGGUUGCGGACAGUGUCUGGUGGGUAGUUUGACUGGGGCGGUCUCCUCCUAAAGAGUAACGGAGGAGCACGAAGGUUGGCUAAUCCUGGUCGGACAUCAGGAGGUUAGUGCAAUGGCAUAAGCCAGCUUGACUGCGAGCGUGACGGCGCGAGCAGGUGCGAAAGCAGGUCAUAGUGAUCCGGUGGUUCUGAAUGGAAGGGCCAUCGCUCAACGGAUAAAAGGUACUCCGGGGAUAACAGGCUGAUACCGCCCAAGAGUUCAUAUCGACGGCGGUGUUUGGCACCUCGAUGUCGGCUCAUCACAUCCUGGGGCUGAAGUAGGUCCCAAGGGUAUGGCUGUUCGCCAUUUAAAGUGGUACGCGAGCUGGGUUUAGAACGUCGUGAGACAGUUCGGUCCCUAUCUGCCGUGGGCGCUGGAGAACUGAGGGGGGCUGCUCCUAGUACGAGAGGACCGGAGUGGACGCAUCACUGGUGUUCGGGUUGUCAUGCCAAUGGCACUGCCCGGUAGCUAAAUGCGGAAGAGAUAAGUGCUGAAAGCAUCUAAGCACGAAACUUGCCCCGAGAUGAGUUCUCCCUGAGACUUAAAGUCUCCUGAAGGAACGUUGAAGACGACGACGUUGAUAGGCCGGGUGUGUAAGCGCAGCGAUGCGUUGAGCUAACCGGUACUAAUGAACCGUGAGGCUUAACCUUACAACGCCGAAG
rnacentral:rRNA from 1 species